AGCAGUAGCCACGGGAAUACGGAGGGCGCGAGCGUUACCCGGAUUUACUGGGCGUAAAGGGCGUGUAGGCGGCCUGGGCGUCCCAUGUGAAAGGCCACGGCUCAACCGUGGAGGAGCGUGGGAUACGCUCAGGCUAGAGGGUGGGAGAGGGUGGUGGAAUUCCCGGAGUAGCGGUGAAAUGCGCAGAUACCGGGAGGAACGCCGAUGGCGAAGGCAGCCACCUGGUCCACUUCUGACGCUGAGGCGCGAAAGCGUGGGGAGCAAACCGGAUUAGAUACCCCCGUAGUCCCUGUCUCUUAUACA
rnacentral:rRNA from 1 species